rnacentral:misc_RNA from 1 species
AGAUAGGGGCGGAAGGGUUAGACCGAUGUUUGGUGGAAACGAAGGAUCGUUUGGUGAUGAAUUAGAGACGGAGAUAGGUUUAUUGCUUCGUGAACAGCGUCGGCAAGAGGCUGAUGAUCGUGAACGGGAGCUGAAUUUGUAUAGAAGUGGAUCAGCUCCGCCGACUGUCGAAGGCUCUUUGAGUGCGGUGGGUGGUCUGUUUGGUGGGGUUGCUGGUUCUGCU